CAGGGGAUUGCACAUGUGGAGGAAAAGAGACAGGUUAAAAGACGGACUUCAAAGGAUGAAGACGAUGAUUCUGAUCUUGCUGGCCUUUGCCGAUUCUGAAGGUCCCCCCUUUUGCAUCAUCAGAAUUGCUUGUAGGAACAGACCUUGUUGGCAGUUCCACCUCUCCUCACCUUAAGUCGGAUUCCUUGCCCAACUCUGGUUUAAUCGUGGGUUGUUGGAAGUGCAAAUUUUGGCUGAUUUGCCUCGCGUGGUGUCCAGUUUCCAGUAUAUCCAGUCUAUUUUUCUCCUGUGAAAUUGUGUAGUCAAUUCUGGACCUUUUGUGAAAAACGUGUUUGCCGUUAUCCGGGGUUUCUUCCUCACCAGGUUUCCAAACCAGUAGGUCACCGCAUGCUGGAUUCUGCCUUUUCUGGAUAUCCUUACUUGUUUUUUCCGGCUUCCUUAGCAAUCCUAUUCUGCAAGCUGGAAGCCCAAAAUUCUGGAAAUUAUAUAGCCUCUCAGCAACCAUUUUUCCAGCUCCAUGAAGCCUGCCUUCUGGAGUUAUCCUUUGCAUUCAAUCUGCCCUCUUCCAUGGCAAAAAUACUUGCUAGUUCUUGCACAUAACAUUGGAAUUUUCAUAAGUUUCUCGGCAGUUAGCUGGAUAAGAGCAGUCUUCUAAAAUUGCCAAAAUCUGAGCAUUUUUUUCUGCCCAGUCUGCACUGUAAUUUCUGGUUACCGCUUAUACUUGCUGCUGUUCCUCUUUGCAUUGUUAUCUAUUAAGAUUUGGACACUUGUCCUUAAUCCAUAGAGUUGUUUUAUUACAGAUCGUCAUUUUUAUGGGACUGAACCCACCACACCAGACCAGACAAAUCCUGAGUCCAAUGACCGAUCCCAUAUCAAUUAAACCAAAUAAAUCGAGAGUUUGAUCUUGAUA